rfam:Bradyrhizobium sp. ORS278,complete sequence.
AGAGUUGGCAGCUAGGGUUCCGGUUCUCAUCGCGAGAACGCUGGUCCGAGAGCAGCCGCCAGGGGAGAGCCCUGGUGCACGGCGGGAUAAAAACCCGGGAGAC